rnacentral:rRNA from 1 species
UACGGAGGAUGCGAGCGUUAUCCGGAUUUAUUGGGUUUAAAGGGUGCGUAGGCGGACAGUCAAGUCAGCGGUAAAAAUGCGGUGCUCAACACCGGCCGGCCGUUGAAACUGGCAGCCUUGAGUGAGCGAGAAGUAUGCGGAAUGCGUGGUGUAGCGGUGAAAUGCAUAGAUAUCACGAAGAACUCCGAUUGCGAAGGCAGCCUGCUGGACUGUAACUGACGCUGAUGCUCGAAAGUGUGGUGGUAAUCAAGAGU